rnacentral:lncRNA from 1 species
ACAUCUUUGGAUCGCGCCGCAUGAAAUGCACCCGCAAUCCUAAACAUAUUUUAUUCAACGUUGUGGAGAAUUGAAAUUGGGUCACAUGAAAUGCACACUCGAAAUUAGAAUUAGGUAACACAGCUACAUCACGGGAACCGUAUGCGUAGCCAUAAUUUAUUCAAGAGUUUGACUAAUUUUGUUAAAAUUGGUUGAGAUUAGAGGUCACACAGCUCGUGGAAUUAAUGCGUGGAUGAUUUGAGCCCAACUCAUAAAUUGCAGGUGUAUCAUCAUUGAAACCCAAAACUAGCUUAGAACACUACAUCAAUAUAACAAGAGUAUGACACUAACUAAAAUUAUGUAUUGUUUGUACUAUUAUGGAGUUAAGUGCCCACACAGUGCAUCAAUCUAGAAACAAUCCUUUUACUUUAUUUGUCAUAAACAAUAUUGUACUACUGCAGCAUGGUCAGAUUCAAACUUAAACAAAUUAAAAUCAUGAAUGAAAAGCAAAAGCACAUAGCAAAAGCAAAAAGCAAAAGUAAAAGCAAAAGGGUGCAAUUAUUUUUGCCGCUUUUAAUAUUUCGGAAAAAAUUUAAAGUUAUUUAAAACACAUCGUAAGCCACGCUACAUAAAUGCACCCGCGGUUCGGAACACAUGUUAUAUAACAUUGUCGAGAUUUGGAUUUGGGUCACAUAAAUGCGCACCCGAGUUUAGGAAGGUAAAUUAUUAAGUAGCGCGCCUAAAGCGACUACGCCUUUUCGAAUUUGCGAGGGCCAUGAAAAUUCAACUAAAUAGCACGCCUCCAAUUCUAAGGAUUCAAUUAUUCAAAAUCAACUAAAUGAGGGCAGCCAUCUUAGCUGUUGGAAGUCAGUAGCUUUUGAGGCUAAAGCUAAAGAUCUCAAAAUUCUAGGAUUCAUUUCAAUUAACAUGCUUUCCCCAGCAACUGGAUUUACAGCAAACA